rnacentral:tRNA from 1 species
GCGGGCGUGGCGGAAUCGGCAGACGCGCCAGAUUUAGGUUCUGGUGCCAACAGGCGUAUGAGUUCAAGUCUCUUCGCCCGCACCA